rnacentral:snRNA from 1 species
AUGCUCGUUUUGGCAGCACAUACACUAAAAUUGGAAUGAUACAGAGAAGAUUAGCAUGGCCCCUGUGCAAGGAUGAUAUGCAAAUUCAUGAAGCAUUCCAUAUUUUG